rnacentral:lncRNA from 1 species
UCACUGAUAACUGAUGGUGUUCCUGGAAAAGAUCAUCCUAGCAAAGGACAGCAUCCCACAAGUACUACUGUUGCCUCCAAUGAUGGUGCCAUAUAUGAAGACUCAAUCCAUGAUUCACUGCCUCCAGAUAAUCAACCAGGAUGGGGCAGUGAGGACAAAUAUCCCACAAAUACCUCCAGGGAUUAUGUCAUACCUGGACUUAUUCCGGAAAAUGAAGAUGAGUCUUAUACAGGUACCAGUAAGAAUAAUGAAUUAUAUUAAUUUCACCACCCUGUGUGUAAUGAGACAUUAUUU